UACGUAGGGUGCAAGCGUUAAUCGGAAUUACUGGGCGUAAAGAGUUCGUAGGCGGUUUGUCGCGUCGUUUGUGAAAACCAGCAGCUCAACUGCUGGCUUGCAGGCGAUACGGGCAGACUUGAGUACUGCAGGGGAGACUGGAAUUCCUGGUGUAGCGGUGAAAUGCGCAGAUAUCAGGAGGAACACCGGUGGCGAAGGCGGGUCUCUGGGCAGUAACUGACGCUGAGGAACGAAAGCGUGGGUAGCGAACAGG
rnacentral:rRNA from 1 species